rnacentral:rRNA from 1 species
AACACGGACCAAGGAGUCUAGCAUGUGCGCGAGUCAUUGGGAUAUAAUUAAACCUAAAGGCGAAAUGAAAGUAAAAGUUUGUUUUACACAGACUUAGGGAGGAUGAAUGGUUGUUUUUUCAACUGUUCCGCACUCCCAGGGCGUCUCAUACUCAUUGCGAGUGGAGGCGUACCAAGAGCGUACACGCUGGGACCCGAAAGAUGGUGAACUAUGCCUGGUCAGGACGAAGUCAGGGGAAACCCUGAUGGAGGUCCGUAGCGAUUCUGACGUGCAAAUCGAUCGUCGGAACUGGGUAUAGGGGCGAAAGACUAAUCGAACCAUCUAGUAGCUGGUUCCCUCCGAAGUUUCCCUCAGGAUAGCUGGCGCUUAUAGCGUACGAGUUUCAUCUGGUAAAGCGAAUGAUUAGAGGCAUUGGGGUCGAAACGGCCUCAACCUAUUCUCAAACUUUAAAUGGGUGAGAUCUUUGGCUUGCUUGAACUUUUGAAGCCAUAAGACUCGAAUCAAAGUGCCAAGUGGGCCAUUUUUGGUAAGCAGAACUGGCGCUGUGGGAUGAACCAAACGCCGAGUUAAAGCGCCUAAAUCGACGCUUAUGGGAUACCAUGAAAGGCGUUGGUAACUUAAGACAUCAGGACGGUGGCCAUGGAAGUCGGAAUCCG